AACGAACGCUGGCGGCAUGCCUAACACAUGCAAGUCGAACGAGACCUUCGGGUCUAGUGGCGCACGGGUGCGUAACGCGUGGGAACCUGCCCUUAGGUUCGGAAUAACUCCCCGAAAGGGGUGCUAAUACCGGAUAAUGUCUUCGGACCAAAGAUUUAUCGCCUUUGGAUGGGCCCGCGUUGGAUUAGCUAGUUGGUAGGGUAAAAGCCUACCAAGGCGACGAUCCAUAGCUGGUCUGAGAGGAUGAUCAGCCACACUGGGACUGGGACACGGCCCAGACUCCUACGGGAGGCGGCAGUGGGGAAUAUUGGACAAUGGGCGAAAGCCUGAUCCAGCAAGGCCGCGUGAGUGAUGAAGGCCUUAGGGUUGUAAAGCUCUUUUACCCGGGAUGAUAAUGACAGUACCGGGAGAAUAAGCUCCGGCUAACUCCGUG
rnacentral:rRNA from 1 species